GACGAACGCUGGCGGCGUGCCUAAUACAUGCAAGUAGGACGCACAGUCUAUACCGUAGCUUGCUACACCAUAGGCUGUGAGUUGCGAACGGGUGAGUAACGCGUAGGUAACCUGCCUAUUAGAGGGGGAUAACUAUUGGAAACGAUAGCUAAUACCGCAUAACAGUAUGUAACACAUGUUAGAUGCUUGAAAGAUGCAAUUGCAUCGCUAGUAGAUGGACCUGCGUUGUAUUAGCUAGUAGGUAGGGUAAUGGCCUACCUAGGCGACGAUACAUAGCCGACCUGAGAGGGUGAUCGGCCACACUGGGACUGAGACACGGCCCAGACUCCUACGGGAGGCGGCAGUAGGGAAUCUUCGGCAAUGGGGGGAACCCUGACCGAGCAACGCCGCGUGAGUGAAGAAGGUUUUCGGAUCGUAAAGCUCUGUUGUUAAGGAAGAACGAGUGUGAGAAUGGAAAGUUCAUACUGUGACGGUACUUAACCAGAAAGGGACGGCUAACUACGUG
rnacentral:rRNA from 1 species